rnacentral:lncRNA from 1 species
GGUAUGAAUCAAGCAGGGCAAGAGAAGGCUGUGGGUCUGUGAGGAUUGACCUCCUGCUGCGUGCCGGGCAGUGAUUCAAUCCCCAGUGACACCCAGCACUGACCAAGCAGCGCCAAACCCAGAUUCCAAUCCCAUGCAACAAAUUCCCUCUGCAGGGUCAGUGUCUGGCACUGACGGGUGACUCUCAGAGGUGCCACAGUAGACAUUCAGCCGGAAUUUACAUGCCUGUGCUCUUGGCAAUGCUGUUUACUUAACUCACCAAGAAAGUCACAUAACCCUGAAGCCUUGAGUGACCUAUCCAGUCCACAUGGGCCAUUUUCUACCUUGAGCUCAUGUGCUACUUGCUGGUGGACGGUGGAUUUGGAGUUGAUGGAGAGGGCCUGGUCCUAUGGUGAAUGGAGAGAACCACCCACACAGAGGUUACACUGUGAAGUUCUCACUUGACAAGGGACUGAUGGGGGGGUCUCAGUCAGUCAGACACGUCUCUCUUG